rnacentral:rRNA from 1 species
UACGUAGGCAGCGAGCGUUGUUCGGAGUUACUGGGCGUAAAGGGUGUGUAGGCGGUUGUUUAAGUUUGGUGUGAAAUCUCCCGGCUCAACUGGGAGGGUGCGCCGAAUACUGAAUGACUAGAGUGCGGGAGAGGAAAGUGGAAUUCCUGGUGUAGCGGUGAAAUGCGUAGAUAUCAGGAGGAACACCGGUGGUGUAGACGGCUUUCUGGACGUAACUGACGCUGAGACACGAAAGCGUGGGGAGCGAUCCGG